UACGAAGGGGGCUAGCGUUGCUCGGAAUCACUGGGCGUAAAGGGUGCGUAGGCGGGUCUUUAAGUCAGGGGUGAAAUCCUGGAGCUCAACUCCAGAACUUCCUUUGAUACUGAGGAUCUUGAGUCCGGGAGAGGUGAGUGGAACUGCGAGUGUAGAGGUGAAAUUCGUAGAUAUUCGCAAGAACACCAGUGGCGAAGGCGGCUCACUGGCCCGAUACUGACGCUGAGGCACGAAAGCGUGGGGAGCAAACAGG
rnacentral:rRNA from 1 species